CUGUAUUUCACAGUCACCAAGUCCAGUGAACACUGCUACAUGGCUGAGGGUUUAUACUCCAUGUACAGUGAACACUGCUACAUGGCUGAGGGUUUAUACUCCAUGUACAGUGAACACUGCUACAUGGCUGAGGGUUUAUACUCCGUGUACAGUGAUCCUCAACAUAUUGUAUCUGACUUUUUUGAAGUCAGUGCUGGGUGAGUGAUAAGAGAAUUGUUCUCCAGGUACAUAACCCAAUUGAAUUAUUACUCUGGCUGCAAACCAGAAUUUGUAAGAUCCUGGUCGAAUGAAAGACGGAGGCCCAGCUAAAGUAGUUAAAUGUUUAUUCACAGAACGUUCAAAGUAAAGAAUACAAUUCAUUUUAUACUGACUUCACACACACACACACACACACAAACGUCCUGCCACGCACACACUGUCUCACUACCCAGCCGACAGAGAUGGUGACCUUGUCCUUGAGAUGUACUCCCCGUUCUCUCCCAAAUCUCUAGUCAGGUCGGCACCAAGCUCAGACAGUCUGUUUAAAAUACCAUAGACAUUGUUUUACCUUAAUUCUGACUAGGACUACACAUUUAUUGAUUUUAUACAUUCUAAUCAAUUCCAUACAAUUGUUUCAGGGCAGAAUAUUCUAAUCAGUCAAUUAACAGACAAUUCUCACCCAUCAGUGAGGUACAGUAGUGCUGGGUGAGAGCAAGUAGAUCCUCUUAAGCUACUUGCCAGCUUGGUAAGCCUGAUCAAGUCUCUGACCAGCAGGGUGCUGAAUCCACUGGGAAAUGUUGAUGUACUCAAAGAGCCAAUAGAUGGAUACAUCAGUCCCAAACUGUACCUUGGUUACCUUUGAGUUCAAAGGCAGCUGAGCUCCACCUUGUGCCUGAGGAUGAAAACAAUGUCAGAAAGUGGUGUGUAGCCUUCACCAUCUCCCUCACUAAGGAGUUGAGGGUGAGACUGCCAGACAACAUUGAAGAGUACAUGUCAGUUUUCAAUGUGGAGGAAACUAUAAAGCACAAUAAGAGCCCUGGAGAAAUAGAAAACAUAGCCAAGCUCCUUGGCUACUCCCCUGCAGAGAUAGACAAGAUUGCCCAGCAAUGGCGUGCCAUCCAUCUUAGUAAAUGGAAUGAGACAAAAAACAAACAGAGCUUCUGGAGUGAGAUUUGGAAGUUCAGGGAUGCAGCUGAUAUCAACCCGUUUCAAGGACUUGCCAUGGCUGCUGUGUCUGUGAUGUCCUUGCCACACUCGAAUGCUGAAGUCGAGAGAGUAUUCCGCCAGAUGAGUGUGGUAAAAAGCAUAACUAGAAAUGGGAUGUCCUUGCAGACCCUUAACUCCAUCCUGUACAUUCGAUAUGGACUGAAGCUGUCUGGUGAGGCUUGCUAUGAGCACCAGCUGCCUGAUAAUGUUUUGCAUCUUUUUGGCUCAUCAGCUGCUUACUCAUUUAAGUCCGCUCCCUCAGUUGCUGAACCUUCCAUAGAGAGCCUUGACCAAAAAGACAAUGACCCACUCUCUGUGAGCCAGUACAGCCUGUGUGUGUGGAGGGGGGUCUGGAAAACUACUAUUAACCUGAAUUAAAGCCAGACUAGUUACCAUAAUUCUCACAUUGCCAUUGCUGGUCCAUUUAGAUUGUUAAUGUAGAUUGUAUGUAAAAAAUAAAAUUGUAUGGUUAUAAAUGUUCAUGUUUUACUGUAACUUGUAGGCUCCAAAGUAGAACAUAAGGUUAAAAACCAAACUAAAAUAAAUAAUUAACUAAAUACCUCCGCCAGAGUGUCUCUUUUGGGUCACUUUUGCCAAUCCCAAGUCCGGAUAAAGGAGGGUUAGAAUUGUGACAUAAAUCGACAAGAAUCGACAGAAGUUCAUUUGUAGUUCUAAACAUAUUUAGGGUGUCUUUUUCCCACAACGUUAUUCCUCUCCUACAGCGUCCAUCACAAGUACAUGCACAUGUCAUUUCGGUGACGACAUCAUUUAGCGACUUCUAGUGACUUUUAGGACAGCCAAUAGCUACUUUCCUUACUGAGGCGCUAGCAACUCUGGUUACAGCAUCCGCACGUGCUCUGGAAAGACCGCAUAGAGUAGAAAGGCAGUUACAGCAGCACAUCCCCUGAACGAAAACAGAGGUAAUGUUAGGUGAGAAGCCUGAUGACCACGGGGAUGAAGUGUACUUCAUGAGCUGUAACUGAAAAACAGGCAUUUGGAAUGUUUGAGGUGAGGGAGAAAGUGUGGCAGAACAAGUAUUAGCACAGAUCAAAUUCUCUGUUACCUAGCCAGAGAAAUGUUGAGCAACAUUAGCCAACUCAUCUGAUCAAAUAAUUGAGUUUAUGGUGUGAAAAUUGGCUUGCUAAUGAAGUCAGACAGCUAAUGUCACUGUCACGCCCUGACCUUAGUUAUCUUUGCUUUCUUUAUUAUUUUGAUUAGGUCAGGGUGUGACGAGGGUGGUUUGUUUCGUUUUUGUAUUGUCUAGGGGGUUUAGGUCUAUGGUUGCCUAGACUGGUUCUCAGAGGCAGCUGUUUAUCAUUGUUACGCACACCUCUAUGAAGAGGGAACACAACACCCUCCUACAACUCAACUCUCAGUGAAGUGAAAGAGGUAUGGACUGUAGGUGCGAGUAAGGAUUUACCGUUUACUAGGAAUUUAUUCCUUCACACGGUAAUAUGGGGAAAAGGUGCUGGACAGAACCAAAGCAAAGAAAGUAAAUAUCAAAGCCCCCUCUACCUGCCUAACCACUACUUACCUAAUUUAGCACCACCUGGUGCCCCUAACCAAAAUACAGGGUGUGUUCCGCCCAGGUCUUACCUAGUGUGCCUAGACAGUGAAUAUACUAUGGGUAUGUAUGCCCACGGGCCUCUUGCCUAAGCACUCCCUAGGUGCCUUCCCCUUCCCCCCUGGGAACAAAUGAAACAGGAUAACCAACCAUUUCAAUCAUCAAAAGUGUGUCCGAUUGACACAACAGACAUACCCAACCAGCUCCCUCAGCAACAACAUAGUACAUACCCAACCAGC
ensembl:lncRNA